rnacentral:lncRNA from 1 species
GCCGGGGCCGCAAGGAGCCCGGAGCCGCCGCCGCCACCGCUCCAGGCAUCGCGCUGACAGGGCAACGGCCCGGAUCACGCAGCCCCGAGGGCCGCUCGCAGCCUUCUCCUCAGCCCUCGCGGGGCUGCACGCACGGGAGAACCCGGCAGCUGCAAGCAGGGCCGGGACCCCUGCUUCUGGGGACCAGGGUAAAGAGAAAGGGCCUCGAGGUGCUGGCGCUCCUCGGAGUCCGCGCCACCGCAAACGCCGCCGCCGCCGCCGCCGCUUCUACCCACUCCUCACUCCGAAUGGCAACUAAUUCGCCCCAGCCGCACCCCGCCCCCGGCACCGCCUCCCAGCGCCCAGGACCCGGCAGCUGCCGCAGCGAGCAUUUCCAUUGGCUUAGGCGCUCCCCACCAGAACUCGAGUGAUUGGUUCUGGAGUAGGAGUGAGCGAAGCAGUGUCCAAUGACAAUGGUGCCUCCUACUCUGAAGGCGGGGCGUGAGGGGUGGCGGCGUGGGGUGGGGGCUGUGCGCGCAGGGAGGAGCGUAAAAGUUGACAGCCUUGAGCAUGUGACACCUUCUGCCAUGAGAUGAUGCUACAAGAAGAAUCUCACCGACUGCUGGCACCUUGAUACUGGACUUCACAGCCUCCAGAAUUGUGAGCCAAUGUCUUUCAAACAUUGAUAAUUACAGCUUUCAGACUCAAAGCCUACAAAUUCAUAAUCCAUACAGAUGACAUACUAAAAUCUACUCAAACUUGUAAGUCUGAAGACAAUUUCAGCACUAUUGGACUUACAUUAAGAGAAAACUGC